rnacentral:rRNA from 1 species
AGGUAAGCUACUAAGAGCGAAUGGUGGAUGCCUUGACUGGUAAAGGCGAUGAAGGACGUACUAGACUGCGAUAAGCUACGGGGAGCUGUCAAGAAGCUUUGAUCCGUAGAUUUCCGAAUGGGGCAACCCAAUGUAUAGAGAUAUACAUUACCUAUAUAGGAGCGAACGAGGGGAAUUGAAACAUCUUAGUACCCUCAGGAAAAGAAAUCAAUAGAGAUUGCGUCAGUAGCGGCGAGCGAAAGCGCAAGAGGGCAAACCCAGUGCUUGCACUGGGGGUUGUAGGACUGCAAUGUGCAAGAGGUAAGUUUAGCAGAACAUUCUGGAAAGUAUAACCAUAGAGGGUGAUAGUCCCGUAUGCGAAAAACAAACCUUAGCUAGCAGUAUCCUGAGUAGGGCGGGACACGAGGAAUCCUGUCUGAAUCCGGGUCGACCACGAUCCAACCCUAAAUACUAAUACCAGAUCGAUAGUGCACAAGUACCGUGAGGGAAAGGUGAAAAGAACUGAGGUGAUCAGAGUGAAAUAGAACCUGAAACCAUUUGCUUACAAUCAUUCAGAGCCCUAUGUAGCAAUACAGGGUGAUGGACUGCCUUUUGCAUAAUGAGCCUGCGAGUUGUGGUGUCUGGCAAGGUUAAGCAAACGCGAAGCCGUAGCGAAAGCGAGUCUGAAUAGGGCGCUUAGUCAGAUGCUGCAGACCCGAAACGAAGUGAUCUAUCCAUGAGCAAGUUGAAGCUAGUGUAAGAACUAGUGGAGGACUGAACCCAUAGGCGUUGAAAAGCCCCGGGAUGACUUGUGGAUAGGGGUGAAAGGCCAAUCAAACUUCGUGAUAGCUGGUUCUCUCCGAAAUAUAUUUAGGUAUAGCGUUGUGUCGUAAUAUAAGGGGGUAGAGCACUGAAUGGGCUAGGGCAUACACCAAUGUACCAAACCCUAUCAAACUCCGAAUACCUUAUAUGUAAUCACAGCAGUCAGGCGGCGAGUGAUAAAAUCCGUCGUCAAGAGGGAAACAACCCAGACUACCAGCUAAGGUCCCUAAAUCUUACUUAAGUGGAAAACGAUGUGAAGUUACUUAAACAACCAGGAGGUUGGCUUAGAAGCAGCCAUCCUUUAAAGAAAGCGUAAUAGCUCACUGGUCUAGUGAUUUUGCGCGGAAAAUAUAACGGGGCUAAAGUAAGUACCGAAGCUGUAGACUUAGUUUACUAAGUGGUAGGAGAGCGUUCUAUUUGCGUCGAAGGUAUACCGGUAAGGAGUGCUGGAGCGAAUAGAAGUGAGCAUGCAGGCAUGAGUAGCGAUAAUUAAUGUGAGAAUCAUUAACGCCGUAAACCCAAGGUUUCCUACGCGAUGCUCGUCAUCGUAGGGUUAGUCGGGUCCUAAGUCGAGUCCGAAAGGGGUAGACGAUGGCAAAUUGGUUAAUAUUCCAAUACCAACAUUAGUGUGCGAUGGAAGGACGCUUAGGGCUAAGGGGGCUAGCGGAUGGAAGUGCUAGUCUAAGGUCGUAGGAGGUUAUACAGGCAAAUCCGUAUAACAAUACUCCGAGAACUGAAAGGCUUUUUGAAGUCUUCGGAUGGAUAGAAGAACCCCUGAUGCCGUCGAGCCAAGAAAAGUUUCUAAGUUUAGCUAAUGUUGCCCGUACCGUAAACCGACACAGGUGGGUGGGAUGAGUAUUCUAAGGCGCGUGGAAGAACUCUCUUUAAGGAACUCUGCAAAAUAGCACCGUAUCUUCGGUAUAAGGUGUGGUUAGCUUUGUAUUAGGAUUUACUCCGAAAGCAAGGAAACUUACAACAAAGAGUCCCUCCCGACUGUUUACCAAAAACACAGCACUCUGCUAACUCGUAAGAGGAUGUAUAGGGUGUGACGCCUGCCCGGUGCUCGAAGGUUAAUUGAUGGGGUU